AUUGAACGCUGGCGGCAGGCUUAACACAUGCAAGUCGAGCGGGGGAAGGUAGCUUGCUACUGGACCUAGCGGCGGACGGGUGAGUAAUGCUUAGGAAUCUGCCUAUUAGUGGGGGACAACAUCUCGAAAGGGAUGCUAAUACCGCAUACGUCCUACGGGAGAAAGCAGGGGAUCUUCGGACCUUGCGCUAAUAGAUGAGCCUGAGUCGGAUUAGCUAGGUGGUGGGGUAAAGGCCUACCAAGGCGACGAUCUGUAGCGGGUCUGAGAGGAUGAUCCGCCACACUGGGACUGAGACACGGCCCAGACUCCUACGGGAGGCAGCAGUGGGGAAUAUUGGACAAUGGGGGGAACCCUGAUCCAGCCAUGCCGCGUGUGUGAAGAAGGCCUUAUGGUUGUAAAGCACUUUAAGCGAGGAGGAGGCUACUUUAGUUAAUACCUAGAGAUAGCGGACGUUACUCGCAGAAUAAGCACCGGCUAACUCUGUGCCAGCCGCCGCCGUAA
rnacentral:rRNA from 1 species